GCUCCAGAUGUUUUUGAUUGUUGCUCAGAAAGCCUUAAUUAUUUUUUGGCUUUCUAGCAAUAAUCACGACCAGAUGAGAG
rnacentral:pre_miRNA from 1 species